GACGAACGCUGGCGGCGUGCCUAAUACAUGCAAGUCGAGCGAAUUUACGAGAGCUUGCUCUCGUAAAUUAGCGGCGGACGGGUGAGUAACACGUGGGCAACCUGCCUAUAAGACUGGGAUAACUUCGGGAAACCGGAGCUAAUACCGGAUAAUUCACAUCUACUCAUGUAGAUGUGCUGAAAGACGGUUUACGCUGUCACUUAUAGAUGGGCCCGCGGCGCAUUAGCAGUUGGUGAGGUAACGGCUCACCAAGGCCACGAUGCGUAGCCGACCUGAGAGGGUGAUCGGCCACACUGGGACUGAGACACUGGCCCCGGACUCCGUACGGGGGGCUGCAGUAACGAAUCUUCCCCAAUGCGACGAAAGCGUGAGGGAGCGACGCCGCGUGU
rnacentral:rRNA from 1 species